rnacentral:rRNA from 1 species
GUGAAAUGCAUAGAUAUUACACAGUACACCGAUUGCGAAGGCAGCUUACCGAACCAGCACUGACGCUGAAGCACGAAAGCUUGGGGAGCGAACAGGAUUAGAUACCCUGGUAGUCCACGCCGUAAACUUUGCUCACUCGCUGUUGGCGAUAGACAGUCAGCGGCCAAGGGAAACCGAUAAGUGAGCCACCUGGGGAGUACGGCCGCAAGGUUGAAACUCAAAGGAAUUGACGGGGGCCCGCACAAGCGGUGGAACAUGUGGUUUAAUUCGAUGAUACGCGAGGAACCUUACCUGGGCUUAAAUGUGAAGUGCAUUGAUUGGAAACAAUCAUUUCCUUCGGGACCCUUUACAAGGUGCUGCAUGGUUGUCGUCAGCUCGUGCCGUGAGGUGUCGGGUUAAGUCCCAUAACGAGCGCAACCCCUAUUGUUAGUUACCAGCGCGUGAUGGCGGGGACUCUAGCGAAACUGCCGGUGUAAACCGCGAGGAAGGUGGGGAUGACGUCAAAUCAGCACGGCCCUUAUGUCCAGGGCUACACACGUGUUACAAUGGCCGGUACAGCGGGCAGCUAGGCAGCGAUGUCAUGCUAAUCCCGAAAGCCGGUCCCAGUUCGGAUUGGAGUCUGCAACCCGACUCCAUGAAGGUGGAAUCGCUAGUAAUCGCGCAUCAGCCAUGGCGCGGUGAAUACGUUCCCGGGCCUUGUACACACCGCCCGUCAAGCCAUGGAAGUCUGGGGUGCCUGAAGGCCGUAACCGCAAGGAGCGGUCUAGGGUAAACAGAUGACUGGG